AUGGGGAGCGGCACGGAGCCGGCCAAGGGGCUGCUGCCCUACCUGCAGCGCGCCGACGAGCUGCAGAAGCACGAGCCCCUCGUCGCGUACUACUGUCGGUUGUACGCGAUGGAGAAGGGGCUGGUGAUCCCGCAGAAGGAGCGCACCAAGAUGACCAACUCCAUCCUCGUCUCCCUCAUCAACCAGCUCGAGAAGGAUAAGAAAUCUUUGACCUUGGGGCCUGAUGACCAUCUUCAUUUGGAGGGGUUUGCAUCAAGUGUCUUUGCUAAAGCAGACAAACAGGAUCGUGCUGGACGAGCUGACAUAAACACUGCAAAAACUUUCUAUGCUGCCAGCAUCUUUUUUGAGAUUCUCAGUCAGUUUGGCGAGCUUCAACCUGAUCUUGAGCAGAAGCAGAAAUAUGCCAUCUGGAAAGCCGCUGAAAUUAGAAAAGCUCUCAAAGAAGGACGAAAGCCUGAAGCUGGCCCUCCUGGUGGGGACAAAGAUGAAGCACCUGCCAGCACCACUACAAUUGAUCAUGAUAUGGGGCGAAGCCAGUCUUUUGGUAGCCGGCAGAAUGGAAAUGAAGCAUCACCUCAUCCUAUAGACAAGGAUUUUAGCAGGAGGGAUAGCUUUUCUGCUGUCCAGCCAGGAAAUAUAUCUUCUCGACAAGGUGCAGAGAAAUUCAAUGAUCAUGUCUCUGCCCAGGCACAUUUUUCACCACCACCUCCGCCGUCCGAGUUCUCAUCUCCACAGUCCCAGUUUUCACCCCCACCACAUUCAUCUUAUUCCUCUCCCUCAUACCAAGGAACAGAUUACCCUCCUCCUGAUGUCCACACCCCACACCCCAAUUAUUCAUCUCCCUCGUACACAAGCACAGACUACCCUACCAAUGAGGUCCAUAAACCACCAUCCAAUUAUUCACCACCCCCGUACACAAGAGCAGACCAUCCUUCGGAUGAUGGCUACAAUCCUCAGAGCAAUGAUAAGCCGGAUGUUUCAGCUUAUCCUCAGACGUACCACCAGCCACCCUACACAAUUGAACCCCAGCACACCUCUCAAAACUACUACGCUACAGAAACCCCACCUGCUCCAUACAACUACCCUAAUUUCCAGUCUUACCCAAGCUUCCAGGACAGCACACUACCUUCUGUCACAACCCAUCAACCUUCAUUCCAUCCUGCUAGUGAUGGUGGUGUGCCAACUGCUCCAUCAUACUCUCCUCCGGCAUCAAAUCAUCCUGCACCAACGCAGUACCAUCCGAGUGCUGAUGCUACACACCAGGUUACCCCUCCUGCUGCGCCACCAGCUAGCCAAUACGCGUAUGACAGCAAUUACCAGCCGGCAGUCGAGAAGAUUGCUGAGGCUCACAAAGCAGCAAGAUUUGCCGUCGGUGCUCUUGCGUUUGAUGACGUGUCAAUUGCCGUGGAGCACCUGAAGCGCGCGCUGGAUCUCCUGACGAACCCUUCUGCAGAAACUCACUAG
rnacentral:rRNA from 1 species